rnacentral:rRNA from 1 species
CUACACAUGCAAGUCGAACGGGUCCUCCGGGUAUUCGCAAGAACUCCGGAGGUAUAGUGGCGAACGGGUGAGUAACACGCUGCAGUAACCUCCCUUCCGGAGGGGGAUAACCACCCGAAAGGAUGGCUAAUACCCCAUAUGCUUUCCCCCCGCUGGGGGUGGAAAGGAAAGAAGGCUUUUCGCUUUCACCGGAAGAAGGGCUCGCGUCCCAUCAGCUGGUUGGUGGGGUAACGGCCUACCAAGGCGAUGACGGGUAGCUGGUCUGAGAGGAUGAUCAGCCACACUGGGACUGAGACACGGCCCAGACUCCUACGGGAGGCAGCAGUGAGGAAUUUUGGGCAAUGGGCGCAAGCCUGACCCAGUCAACGCCGCGUGGAGGAAGAAGGCCUUCGGGUCGUAAACUCCUGUUCUGGGAGAAGAAACGGUGAAGGGUGAAUAACCCCUCACCCUGACGGUAUCCCAGGAGAAAGCUCCGGCUAAUUACGUGCCAGCAGCCGCGGUAAUACGUAAGGAGCGAGCGUUGUCCGGAUUCACUGGGCGUAAAGAGCUCGUAGGUGGUUCCUUAAGUCUCACGUGAAAUCCUUCUGCUCAACCGGAKAAAGCCGUGGGAAACUGGGGAGCUGGAGGGCAGAA